UACGUAGGGUGCGAGCGUUAAUCGGAAUUACUGGGCGUAAAGUGUGCGCAGGCGGCCGCGCAAGUCGAGUGUGAAAGCCCCGGGCUUAACUUGGGGAAUUGCGCUCGAAACUACGUGGCUGGAGUGUGGCAGAGGAAGGUGGAAUUCCAGGUGUAGCGGUGAAAUGCGUAGAGAUCUGGAGGAACACCGAUGGCGAAGGCAGCCUUCUGGGCCAACACUGACGCUCAUGCACGAAAGCGUGGGGAGCAAACAGG
rnacentral:rRNA from 1 species